CCUCCGCCGCUGGCUGCUCCGUCCCCGCCGGGGCCCGAAAUCUAUGGUCCGGGCCCCAGGGGCCCUGGAGACUGGAGGCCUCACUGGGUCGGGAGCACCUCGGUUCUGUGUAACCCACGGCGGCCAAGUGCACCAGCGCCCCGGGCGCGUUCGCGUUUCCAGAGCCGCCGCUGUAUCUGUUUUCACACUCACCGCUGUUGACGUCGAAGCUGGUUUUCAUACGCCAAUGUAUGGGGUUCUGGGUUCUGUUCUUAAGAGCUACCCGGAAUCAAUUUUGGAAGUGGCACAGGCCCUGGACAUGUGUCCUUUUUCUCCUCCUUUUCCUCCUUCGUCUCCCAUAUUCCUCUUCUCUUCUCCGCUUUCUCUUCAUCCUUACAUUCUGUCAUCCCGCAGGAUACCUAAUAAGCGACGUGGCCCCGAUUUCCUUUCCGUGCGGACCCGUAGGUCGUUAGUCUAGAAGGAAUGUUGGAAUCAUCUAGUCUGAGACGCUUCUGCUACAGCGAGAUGUGCAGGACUCGGGAUCCAGCGUGAGCUCACUUGAGGAGGAACGCGUUGCUUAAUAGGUUGGGCCGAAGUAAAUUAUUACUUGAUUACACACUGAGCCAUGCCUCCUAACAACUGGGCUUCCAAAAUAUAAAUGGACUUACCUGAUGCUACAUUCUUCAAUAGUGCUUCACUUGACAAGGUCCUGUUAAGAAACUCUGGAGUUGCGGCCAAUGCUUAUCAGUAUUAUCAGAAAAUCCACCCAGCUUCUCCAUCACUGUGACAUCUGAGGCUGGAGUAAAUGAUGAAACUGUCCAGACUACUCUCAAGUUUACAUACAGUGAAAAAUAUCCAGAUGAAGCUCCUCUUUAUGAAAUAUUUUCCCAGGAAAACCUAGAAGAUAAUGAUGUCAUAGACAUUUUAAAAUUACUAGCAUUACAGGUAAGGGAAUUGCAAUUUAGUUUUGUAAUGACCUUCUUGUCUUGGUCUUAAAUUUCUACAUUUAAGGAUUAGAAAAUGCUGUAAAUGUGUGUAAAUAGUACAUUGGCAAGCAGAAUUCAUGAUGCAUAAUCACAGAGCAUCUUUUUGUUUUCCAUAGCCAUUUCAGUGUUGAAUAAUGGAGAUUGUCCCAGUGUUCCUGUUUGAAACUCGGUCUGUUCACUCAGUGAUUUAAAAAAAAAAAAAAGCCCAACAGUUACUUUAAGUUGUAGGCACAGUUCUGAGUUAGUUCGAGUAUCUAGUCCCGUGGUGUAGCUAAAAAUUCUAACAUUAAACAAAUUAAAACUGCCCCCUCUUUCCCUUUUUACUGGCUAUUGCCUGCACGUAACUAUGACUAUUUUUUUUUUCUCCAUCUCUUUCCUUAAAUUUAUAAAUACCAAUUAUGGGUUAUGACCUCUCUAAGAGGUGAGGGUUAUGCAGAGGAAAAAAUGGAUACUGGGAAGUUCUUUUCUGCACUAGGUUUGUUAUAAGGUGGGCUACCCACAGUAUGUGCGGGAUGUGUAGUUCACUUGUCCUUGGGUAGAGUUUACUUUGGAACUUAAGAGUAGAGAGUAGGGUAGUGUCUUAGAUUUUCAUUGUUGUGACAAAGUACCUGACACCCACAAAUUAAAAAAAGAGAGGUUUAUUUUAGCUCAUAGUUCGUAGAAGUUUCAGUCCAUAGCUGUCUGGUUCUAGGGCAGGGCAGCAGGGCAUGGUGUAGCAGGCAAGAAAUAGCGAGAUAUCCUCCUUCCUUUCCUUUUUAUUCCAGCAAUGGUGGGUCUUCCCUCUUCAGUAAAUCCAUCAUCCACACCCAAGAAUGACGUUAAACCAAUCAGUGGACUAAUUCUGUGCCACAUACCCAUGAUUGAGUUAUUUCCAAAAGCUCUAUCAGUGCAUGAGGCUUUAUGGGAACAUCUAGAUAUAAGCCAUAACAGAAGAAAAAUGAAGUCCUUAUUCCACUAUUGUAAAAUCAGCAGUCCUAGUAGUUUGUUUUUAAGACUAGUCAGAAAACAUGUAUCUACCUUAGAUGUGACUUGGAUGUUCUUAGGAUUGAUGGGCCUCUGAAUGUUGAUUUUAUAACAGAAGUACUUGGAGCUUUAGAAAAAGGCUUGGAAGUCUUUCAGGCAUGAGUUUCUGCUGAUCCAGGGCCCUGUUCACUCUAUUAUCCAGCAUGAAAUUAUAAUUUGCUUAACAUGUUUCACUUGAAAACAUUGCAGGUAACCUGAGGUAGUUACACUAUAGUCAGUCAGUCACACACUUACAUUCAGUCUGAGUGAAUUUUUCCAUGUAUAUUUGUAUUUCAUUUAUACUCACUCAAUCUGUUUUCAUAAAGACAAUUUUCUGCCGGGGAUUUAGCUCAGUGGUUCCAGUGCCUGCCUCGCAAGCACAAGGACCCC